rfam:Felis catus isolate Cinnamon breed Abyssinian chromosome D4, whole genome shotgun sequence.
GCCCAGCUGGCUCAGUUGGGAGAGUGUGUGACUCUUGAUCUCAGGGUCAUGAGUUCAAGCCCCACACUGGGUG